rnacentral:rRNA from 1 species
AAAUUGAAGAGUUUGAUCAUGGCUCAGAUUGAACGCUGGCGGCAGGCCUAACACAUGCAAGUCGAACGGUAACAGGAAGCAGCUUGCUGCUUUGCUGACGAGUGGCGGACGGGUGAGUAAUGUCUGGGAAACUGCCUGAUGGAGGGGGAUAACUACUGGAAACGUUGGCUAAUACCGCAUAACGUCGCAAGACCAAAGAGGGGGACCUUCGGGCCUCUUGCCAUCAGAUGUGCCCAGAUGGGAUUAGCUUGUUGGUGAGGUAACGGCUCACCAAGGCGACGAUCCCUAGCUGGUCUGAGAGGAUGACCAGCCACACUGGAACUGAGACACGGUCCAGACUCCUACGGGAGGCAGCAGUGGGGAAUAUUGCACAAUGGGCGCAAGCCUGAUGCAGCCAUGCCGCGUGUAUGAAGAAGGCCUUCGGGUUGUAAAGUACUUUCAGCGGGGAGGAAGGUGUUG